GAUGAACGCUAGCGGCAGGCCUAAUACAUGCAAGUCGAACGGUGUAGCAAUACACAGUGGCGCACGGGUGCGUAACACGUAUGCAACCUACCUAUCAUUGGGGGAUAGCCUUUGGAAACGGAGAUUAAUACCGCAUAAGACAGUAGCAUGGCAUCAUGCAGCUGUUAAAGCUUUGGCGAUGAUAGAUGGGCAUGCGUCCAAUUAGUUAGUUGGUGAGGUAACGGCUCACCAAGACGAUGAUUGGUAGGGGAUCUGAGAGGAUAAUCCCCCACACUGGCACUGAGAUACGGGCCAGACUCCUACGGGAGGCAGCAGUAGGGAAUAUUGGGCAAUGGACGGAAGUCUGACCCAGCCAUGCCGCGUGCAGGAAGAAGGCGUUAUGCGUUGUAAACUGCUUUUUUAUAGGAAGAAGGAGACCUUGCGAGGUUUGGUGACGGUACUAUAAGAAUAAGCACCGGCUAACUCCGUGCCAGCAGCCGCCGUAAUAC
rnacentral:rRNA from 1 species